rnacentral:rRNA from 7 species
UUAAAUUGAAGAGUUUGAUCAUGGCUCAGAUUGAACGCUGGCGGCAGGCCUAACACAUGCAAGUCGAACGGUAACAGGAAGCAGCUUGCUGCUUCGCUGACGAGUGGCGGACGGGUGAGUAAUGUCUGGGAAACUGCCUGAUGGAGGGGGAUAACUACUGGAAACGGUGGCUAAUACCGCAUAACGUCGCAAGACCAAAGAGGGGGACCUUCGGGCCUCUUGCCAUCAGAUGUGCCCAGAUGGGAUUAGCUUGUUGGUGAGGUAACGGCUCA